rnacentral:rRNA from 1 species
AUUGAACGCUGGCGGCAUGCCUUACACAUGCAAGACGAACGGCAGCACGGGAGCAAUCCUGGUGGCGAGUGGCGAACGGGUGAGUAAUAUAUCGGAACGUGCCCAGUCGUGGGGGAUAACGCAGCGAAAGCUGUGCUAAUACCGCAUACGAUCUACGGAUGAAAGCGGGGGAUCGCAAGACCUCGCGCGAUUGGAGCGGCCGAUAUCAGAUUAGCUAGUUGGUGAGGUAAAGGCUCACCAAGGCGACGAUCUGUAGCUGGUCUGAGAGGACGCACAGCCACACUGGAACUGAGACACGGUCCAGACUCCUACGGGAGGCAGCAGUGGGGAAUUUUGGACAAUGGGCGCAAGCCUGAUCCAGCAAUGCCGCGUGCAGGAUGAAGGCCUUCGGGUUGUAAACUGCUUUUGUACGGAGCGGAACGGUCUUUCCUAAUACGAGAGGCUAAUGACGGUACCGUAAGAAUAAGCACCGGCUAACUACGUGCCAGCCGCCGCGGUAA